AGCAGCCGCGGUAAUUCCAGCUCCAAUAGCGUAUAUUAAAGUUGUUGCAGUUAAAAAGCUCGUAGUUGAAUUUCGGGAUUGGCGCAUCGGUCGUGCCUCACGGGGUAUGAACUGGUGCAGUCAAUUUCUCACCUUCUGGAGAACCGCGAUGUCCUUAAUUGGAUGCCGCGGGGAACCAGGACCUUUACUUUGAAAAAUUGAGUGUUUAAAGCAGGCAUUUUUGCUUGAAUACAUUAGCAUGGAAUAAUAAAAUAGGACGGCAUGGUUCUAUUUUGUUGGUUUCUAGGACCACCGUAAUGAUUAAUAGGGAUAGUUGGGGGCAUUAGUAUUCAAUUGUCAGAGGUGAAAUUCUUGGAUUUUAUUGAAGACUAACUACUGCGAAAGCAUUUGCCAAGGAUGUUUUCAUUAAUCAAGAACGAAAGUUAGGGGAUCGAAGACGAUCAGAUACCG
rnacentral:rRNA from 1 species